rnacentral:rRNA from 1 species
ACAUACGACCAUAGACUGAAGAGAAUAGGGCAUCCCGUCCGCUCUGCCAAACUCUUCGAAGUCUAGCCAUCAUUAGUAGUUGGGUGGGUGACCACCAGCGAAUACCUACUGUUGUAUGUU